UACAGAGGGUGCGAGCGUUGUCCGGAAUCACUGGGCGUAAAGGGCGCGUAGGUGGUAGGGUAAGCGUGCGGUGAAAGCCCGGAGCUCAACUCCGGGUCGGCCGUGCGAACUGCUUUGCUCGAGCACUGUAGAGGCAGGUGGAAUUCCGGGUGUAGCGGUGGAAUGCGUAGAGAUCCGGAAGAACACCGGUGGCGAAGGCGGCCUGCUGGGCAGUUGCUGACACUGAGGCGCGACAGCGUGGGGAGCAAACAGG
rnacentral:rRNA from 1 species